UGUUGCGGUUAAAGCUCGUAGUUGGAUCUGUGUCCCGCGCCGCCGGUUCACCGCCUGUCGGUGUUAAACUGGCGUGUAUGCGGGACGUCCUGUCGGUGGUGGUCCGGGGUUUCGUCGACCGUAGGGGACUCCACGUUUUACGGCGGUGGCCCUGAAGGCCGGCGCAUUCUUCCGGCCGCCUUGUCAAUCCCGUCGCGGUGCUCUUCACCGAGUGUCGAGGCGGGCCGGCACGUUUACUUUGAACAAAUUAGAGUGCUUUAAGCAGGCUCUUUCCCGCCUGUAUACUGUGUGCAUGGAAUAAUGGAAUAGGACCUCGGUUCUAUUUUGUUGGUUUUCGGAAUCUGAGGUAAUGAUCAAUGGGGACAGGCGGGGGCAUUCGUAUUGCGACGUUAGAGGUGAAAUUCUUGGAUCGUCGCAAGACGGACCGAAGCGAAAGCAUUUGCCAAGUAUGUUCUCGUCGAUCAAGAACGAAAGUUAGAGGUUCGAAGGCGAUCAGAUACCGCCCUAGUUCUAACCAUAAACUAUGCCUGCCAGCGAUCCGCCGGCGUUCCUCCGAUGACCCGGCGGGCAGCUUCCGGGAAACCAGAGCUUUUGGGUUCCGGGGGAAGUAUGGUUGCAAAGCUGAAACUUAAAGGAAUUGACGGAAGGGCACCACCAGGAGUGGAGCCUGCGGCUUAAUUUGACUCAACACGGGAAAACUCACCAGGCCCGGACACCGGAAGGAUUGACAGAUUGAGAGCUCUUUCUUGAUUCGGUGGGUGGUGGUGCAUGGCCGUUCUUAGUUGGUGGAGCGAUUUGUCUGGUUAAUUCCGAUAACGAACGAGACUCUAGCCUACUAACUAGACGCAUCCGGUAUCCACAAUCGUGCUACCGGCGAGCAAAUUGCUUCUUAGAGGGACAGGCGGCUUCUAGCCGCACGAGACUGAGCAAUAACAGGUCUGUGAUGCCCUUAGAUGUCCUGGGCCGCACGCGCGCUACACUGAAGGAAUCAGCGUGUUUUCCCUGUCCGAAAGGACCGGGUAACCCGCUGAACCUCCUUCGUGCUAGGGAUUGGGGCUUGCAAUUGUUCCCCAUGAACGAGGAAUUCCCAGUAAGCGCGAGUCAUAAGCUCGCGUUGAUUACGUCCCUGCCCUUUGUACACACCGCCCGUCGCUACUACCGAUUGAAUGAUUUAGUGAGGUCUUCGGACUGGUACGCGGAUGUUGCUUCGGCAGCUUACGAUGUUGUCGGAAAGAUGACCAAACUUGAUCAUUAGAGA
rnacentral:rRNA from 1 species